UGGCCAGGGUGCUGGGUUGAAGGGGUACCCAGGGGUGAUGAGGCAGAAACACUUCUUGUAAAAUGUUGCAUAUAACUUCAUUAUGACAUGAUUCAUGCAGGUACAACACACAUAAUGACAUCAUAAGAAAAGCGUGGGUGGUGCCCCAAUUUUUGUCCCACCUCAGCAUAGCCGAAUAAUUUGAAACCAGCUUGGUUGACUCUCGGGACCAUUAGGAGGGUCUAAGAGUAAGUCCUCCAAAGGGCAUUUCCCUCUUCAAUAAACCAUCAAGUCCUCCUGCCAAGGCCUGGGAGCUCUCAGCUUCCAGUGCAGGGAAAAGCAGGCAUAAGGAGAAUCCGGUGAAAAUGCUUCCUGCCUAUCUGAAUCCCUUAAGAACAGAUCAAGGAACCAUGGAGGAUUUGAAUAAAGUUAAGAAGAGAAAAGAACAACAAAAGAACAAAAACAGAUUAAGAACUGGGAGGGGAGAAUACAAGCAUCAAAGAAGGGAAACAAAAGAAAUUACAAGCUAUUCUUCUUUAACUUGA
rnacentral:lncRNA from 1 species